UACGGGGGGGAGCAAGCGUUGUUCGGAUUUACUGGGCGUAAAGGGCGCGUAGGCGGUCGUGACAAGUCACUUGUGAAAUCUCCGGGCUUAACUCGGAACGGUCAAGUGAUACUGUCGUGCUAGAGUACAGAAGGGGCAACUGGAAUUCUCGGUGUAGCGGUGAAAUGCGUAGAUAUCGAGAGGAACACCAGUGGCGGAAGGCGGAGUCCCUGGGACAACACCUGACACUGAGGCACGAAAGCUAGGGGAGCAAACAGG
rnacentral:rRNA from 1 species